rnacentral:rRNA from 1 species
UUUAAAGAGAGUUUGAUCCUGGCUCAGGACGAACGCUGGCGGCGUGCCUAAUACAUGCAAGUCGAACGAACGGAGGAAGAGCUUGCUCUUCCAAAGUUAGUGGCGGACGGGUGAGUAACACGUGGGCAACCUGCCUGUAAGUUGGGGAUAACUCCGGGAAACCGGGGCUAA